rnacentral:rRNA from 1 species
AUAUGCCUACAGCAUAGCGUUAAUUCACUGGAUCCCAUUAUAACUCUGUAGUUAAGCAAGCUUAGGCUAGAGUAGUAUUGAGAUAGGUGACCACCCGGGAAGUCCUAGUGUUUUACAUGCU